rnacentral:rRNA from 1 species
AAUCCUGUUCGCUACCCACGCUUUCGCACCUCAGUGUCAGUACAGAUCCAGGAGGCCGCCUUCGCCACUGGUAUUCUUCAUAAUAUCUACGCAUUCCACCGCUACACUAUGAAUUCUACCUCCCUCUAUCGUACUCUAGUGAGUUAGUUUUGGAUGCAGUUCCUAGGUUGAGCCCAGGGCUUUCACAUCCAACUUAACAAACCACCUACGCGCGCUUUACGCCCAGUAAUUCCGAUUAACGCUUGCACCUUCCGUAUUACCGCGGCUGCUGGCACGGAAUUAGCCGGUGCUUACUCUGCAGGUAACAUCAAGGUUAUAAGGUAUUAGCUUAUAACUUUUUCUCCCUGCUUAAAGUGCUUUACAACCCGAAGGCCUUCUUCACACACGCGGUAUGGCUGGAUCAGGCUUGCGCCCAUUGUCCAAUAUUCCCCACUGCUGCCUCCCGUAGGAGUCUGGGCCGUGUCUCAGUCCCAAUGUGGCUGAUCGUCCUCUCAGACCAGCUAAAGAUCGUUGCCUUGGUGAGCCUUUACCUCACCAACAAGCUAAUCUUACGCAGGCUCAUCUAGUAGCGAAAGCUUCAAAGAGAGGCCUUCUUUCUCCCGAAGGAGGUAUACGGUAUUAAUCCGAGUUUCCUCGGGCUAUCCCCUUCUACUAGGUAGAUUCCUACGCGUUACUCACCCGUCCGCCGCUCUACUCAUAUCCGAAGAUACUUUCUCGCACGACUUGCAUGUGUUAAGCCUACCGCCAGCGUUCAAUCUGAGCCAGGAUCAAACUCU